rnacentral:piRNA from 1 species
UUAAACUGGACUGCAUUGGAAACGAAGCUUU